rnacentral:rRNA from 1 species
AUUGAACGCUGGCGGCAGGCCUAACACAUGCAAGUCGAACGAGUGGCGGACGGGUGAGUAAUGUCUGGGAAACUGCCUGAUGGAGGGGGAUAACUACUGGAAACGGUAGCUACUACCGCAUACUAUCGGAUGUGCCCAGAUGGGAUUAGCUAGUAGGGGGGGUAAAGGCGCACCUAGGCGACGCUCCCUAGCUGGUCUGAGAGGAUGGCCAGCCACACGGUAACUGAGACACGGUCCGUACUCCGACGGUAGGCAGCAGUGGGGAAUAGUGCACAAUGGGCGCAAGCCUUAUGCAGCCAUUCCGCGUGUAUGAAGAAGGCCUUCGGGUUGUAAAGUACUUUCAGCGGGGAGGCGUUACCCGAAGAAGAAGCACCGGCUAACUCCGUGCCAGCAGCCGCGGUAAUUC